rnacentral:lncRNA from 1 species
AAUUCUUGGGUUCUUAAGAUUGUCCCUUCAUUUGGUCUAACUAUUCAUCUUGUAUCUUGAUGCAUCUGUUGGUUCCUUUUUUGUUGUUAACGUACCCGUGACUUUCUUGUUGUUGUAAUCUUGUUAUUAUGUGUUGAUAUAGUGAAGCCGUGUGGGGCUCUUUCGAUUCACUAUAGUCAUUGUAAUCUUGUGUUCUCUAUUUAUCUUGUUGAAUAUUGUGGUUGUUGUCUUGAAAAUAUAGGAAAGUUGAGUGGGGC